rnacentral:rRNA from 1 species
GGAUUCCCCUAGUAACGGCGAGUGAAGCGGGAAGAGCUCAAAUUUGAAAUCUGGCGGUCUCAGGCCGUCCGAGUUGUAAUCUAGAGAGGUGUUUUCCGUGCCGGACCGUGUACAAGUCCCUUGGAACAGGGCGUCAUAGAGGGUGAGAAUCCCGUCCAUGACACGGACUCCCGGUGCUCUGUGAUACGCCUUCAAAGAGUCGAGUUGUUUGGGAAUGCAGCUCAAAACGGGUGGUAAAUUCCAUCUAAAGCUAAAUACAGGCGAGAGACCGAUAGCGAACAAGUACCGUGAGGGAAAGAUGAAAAGAACUUUGGAAAGAGAGUUAAACAGUACGUGAAAUUGUUGAAAGGGAAACGCUUGAAGUCAGUCGCGUCUGCCGGGACUCAGCCUUGCUUCUGCUUGGUGCACUUCCCGGUGGAUGGGCCAGCAUCGAUUUUGGCCGCCGGAAAAGGGCGGGGGGAAUGUGGCAGCUUGCUGUGUUAUAGCCUCCCGUCGUACACGGUGGUUGGGAUCGAGGAUUGCAGCACGCCUUUUGGUCGGGGUUCGCCCACGCCACGUGCUUAGGAUGCUGGCGUAAUGGCUUUAAACGACCCGUCUUGAAC